UACGUGGGGUGCGAGCGUUGUCCGGAAUUAUUGGGCGUAAAGAGCUUGUAGGCGGUUUGUCGCGUCUGCUGUGAAAAUCCGGGGCUCAACCCCGGACUUGCAGUGGGUACGGGCAGACUAGAGUGUGGUAGGGGAGACUGGAAUUCCUGGUGUAGCGGUGAAAUGCGCAGAUAUCAGGAGGAACACCGAUGGCGAAGGCAGGUCUCUGGGCCACUACUGACGCUGAGAAGCGAAAGCAUGGGGAGCGAACAGG
rnacentral:rRNA from 1 species